rnacentral:rRNA from 1 species
CGGGUGAGUAACGCGUAUCCAACCUUCCCGCAACUGGGGAAUAACCUUGCGAAAGUAAGACUAAUACCCCAUGGUCUCCACGGAUGGCAUCUGAAGUGGAGUAAAGGUUUCGGCCGGUUGCGGAUGGGGAUGCGUUCGAUUAGCUUGACGGCGGGGUAACGGCCCACCGUGGCAUCGAUCGGUAGGGGUUCUGAGAGGAAGGUCCCCCACAUUGGAACUGAGACACGGUCCAAACUCCUACGGGAGGCAGCAGUGAGGAAUAUUGGUCAAUGGGCGGAAGCCUGAACCAGCCAAGUAGCGUGAAGGACGACUGCCCUAUGGGUUGUAAACUUCUUUUAUGCGGGGAUAAAGUUCGCCACGUGUGGCGUUUUGCAGGUACCGCAUGAAUAAGGACCGGCUAAUUCCGUGCCAGCAGCCGCGGUAAUACGGAAGGUCCAGGCGUUAUCCGGAUUCAUUGGGUUUAAAGGGAGCGUAGGCCGCCUUUUAAGCGUGUUGUGAAAUGUAGGGGCUCAACCCCUGCACUGCA